rnacentral:lncRNA from 1 species
GCCCUGCCCUCCAACUGGAAGCAGGAGCUGGAGAGCCUGCGCAGCAGCUCCCCCGCCCCCGCCUCGUCGGCCCCCGCCCCGGCCCGCUCCUCGUCGGCCAGCUGGCGUGAUGCCGCCCCGGCCUCGUCGGCCCCCGCCCGCUCCAGCUCCUCCAAGAAGGCUGUGACCCCGUCGCGCAGCGCCCUGCCCUCCAACUGGAAGCAGGAGCUGGAGAGCCUGCGCAGCAGCUCCCCCGCCCCCGCCUCGUCGGCCCCUGCCCCGGCCCGCUCCUCGUCGGCCAGCUGGCGUGACGCCGCCCCGGCCUCGUCGGCCCCUGCCCGCUCCAGCUCUGCCUCCAAGAAGGCCGUGACCCCGUCGCGCAGCGCCCUGCCCUCCAACUGGAAGCAGGAGCUGGAGAGCCUGCGCAGCAACUCCCCUGCCCCCGCCUCGUCGGCCCCUGCCCCGGCCCGCUCCUCGUCGGCCAGCUGGCGUGACGCCCCCGCCUCGAGCUCCAGCUCGAGCGCCGACAAGGCCGGCACCAACCCCUGGACUGGCAAGUCCAAGCCCGAGAUCAAGCGCACCGCCCUGCCCGCUGACUGGCGC